CUCCCGAUACCAUUCCAGAGCAUGCAAAAUCCUCUCUCUUCGCUCUCCGCCCCUGUUUAAUCCUCGAAUUUGUGUGUUAUGCUUUUCUUCUGUUUCAGCCAAACGAAACUUGUUUCUCUGUUGUAACCUACCUCUUCAAUGUCUUUCAAUGGUAAAAGCCCGUUUGGAAGUGAAAUUUCUUUUGAUUUCGCUUGGCAGAGUAGGUCUCCAUGGUAUACCUCUGAUUUCGCUUUGAUCUCUGCCCCAUAACUGACCCACCGCAAACCCAUUCUAAUCUCAAUCCCUAAUAUCCUAAUCUCUUUAAUAUCAAUCGCUAAAAUCUUUAAUCCCAUGCAAAAUCCUCUCUCU
rnacentral:lncRNA from 1 species